rnacentral:rRNA from 1 species
UACAGAGGUCUCAAGCGUUGUUCGGAUUCAUUGGGCGUAAAGGGUGCGUAGGUGGCGCGCUAAGUCAGGUGUGAAAAUUUCGGAGCUUAACUCCGAAACUGCAUUUGAUACUGGCGUGCUUGAGGACUGGAGAGGAGACUGGAAUUCAUGGUGUAGCAGUGAAAUGCGUAGAGAUCAUGAGGAAGACCAGUGGCGAAGGCGGGUCUCUGGACAGUUCCUGACACUGAGGCACGAAGGCCAGGGGAGCAAACGGG